rnacentral:lncRNA from 10 species
CAGAUGUUUUCAAAAGAUUUUCAUCUGAGAAGGGGCCCAUUUGGGUUAUUUAGAUUCUAAGAACUGAAACUGCUUUGUUAGUUCUGUUUUUCUGGCUUCUGGGAGAGGAGGAGACAUGAAUUCAAUUAGCACCUUGGUAUUUUCUUUAUCCUUCAUUUCAAUAGAGGAGAUGCUUCAUAUGCACAGUGGUGUCAGGUCACAUCAAAAGAAAGAGAAACAGUUUCUUGGUUUUUAAUUUUCAACCAAAAAGGAAAGGCAUCCAUUUUGUUCCGCUCUAAUUAGCCAGUGCAUGACUUAGAGAGCAGGCAGAUGCUUUGAAGGCGUGGUCACACAGGUCUUCAUUAAUCUCCACACAGGACUUGCACUUCUACGAUGCCUAGGCUGAAGGAAAUGGCUCAGGAAGACGAACAAUCUCACAGAGCCCUAACUCACUCAAGCCAGGUGUUCUAAAGAACAAGUCAAGAGGCCUCCUCCGACCAAAGCCUGGGCUCAAUGAACAUUCAGUAAAGGAACACGGAAUGUCAACUGCAGUUGCACUAGAGACAACCUUGAGACACAUUCCUCUUGUGGGAACUGCUACCCAUUCUUUGCAUGGGAUCUGGAUGGAACUGUUGAUCACAGUGUUUUUACUCCCCAUUUUGCCUCACCAAGAGGUAAGCAGAAGACCCAAGCCAGGCCAGUUACAACGAUCUUCAGAUAAUUACCAUAUUGAUCACAGUAUCACCCCACUCAAGGCUUGGUUGGAGAUGAGCAGAAGAUGACUAAAGCUGUGUCACAAGAAACACUGUCAGUGAGGCUUUUAUACUGACAUUCCUGGUUUACAUUCUUCCUGAUGCCAUUCAUUUGAGGAACUACCCAGUCUUUCCAACAGUGUCUUUGGAAGACAGAUAGUCAGGAAAGAAGAUAGAGUUGUUUUCUGUUCUUUGCAACCAAGGAACCCUGAAUGAUAGACUUGUUGCUAGGCACUUUGGUUAUUUUUAUUAUCUUGAAUACUUCUGUGAUAUACAUCUUUGUGUGUGCCUGUUUGUAUGGAUGUAGCUUUUUAUAUAUUUUAUAUAAUUUCUCAGAAGUGGAAUUACUUAGUCAAAAGGUAUGAACAUUUUUCUGGUUCUUAAUAUAAAUUGUGCAAAUGCUUUUUAAGAGGAUUAUACCAGUUUACAUUUUGUAUUAUAUAUAACAGAAAGUACUACUGAAAAAAUAUUACAAAAAUUUGUCUCUCUGUUCAGAAGGACCUUGUAAUAGAUGAUAAAGUACUUGAAAUAAGAACAUAGAAUGUUUUCAGUUUAAAAUAAUUUCAUUGGGUUAUUUAUGGAAUCCUUAGAGUUAUGGCCAAACAGACAUUUAUAGAUGAUCUGUACCAAACCUAGGUUGGUUAAACAAAUUGCUUAUUCAACUGGCUUAAAUCUAUAAUAGUAAGAUGACACUUACUGAAUGUUUAAUAUGCACUUUGCCAGGGGCUUUGUAUUAUUCUAUGACAUCUUCAAAAUGACCCUACUAUUUUUCCUAUUUUAUAAGUAAGGACAGGAAGACUUCAAGAACAUGACUGAUUUUCCCAAGGGCUGUACCAGAGCCAGAACCCAAAUCUACAUGGCUUUUAAAACUGCAUCUCAGCCAUCUUAUUCCUACAGAACUUAAGGUUAGAAAGCUGGAUUGGAGUCCCAAUUUCACCACUUAGUAACCAGACAAACUUGAGGAAUUCACUCAGCCUCUUUGAAUCUUCAUUUUCUAAUCUUUAAAACUAAGACAAUAAUGCUUGCUCUACCUAUGUCAUAAGAUUUCGUGAGGCACAUAGAGAUAAUGUGGAAGAGUGCUAUACAGAUGUCAAGUCUUAGCAUGAUUACUUAGAUCCCUGAACACCAUGGAUGAAUGUCUCUGACUGCUAUUAGAGGUCAUAAAGAAUAUUGGGGCCAGGUACAUUGGCUUAUUCCUGUAAUGCCAGCACUUUGGGAGCCUGAGACAGGAGGAUCACUCGAGGCCAUGAGUUCAAGACCAGCCUGGGCAACAUAGUGAGACCCCUUCUCUUAAAAAAAAAAAAAAAAAGGCAGCCAGGUGUAGUGGCACAUACCUGUAGUCCCAGAUACUCAGGAGGGUUAGGUGGGAGGAUAACUUUAGCCCAGAAGUUUCAGGUUGCAGUGAGCUGUGAUUGCACCACUGUACUCUAGCCUGGACAGCAGAGUGAGACCUUGUCUCUAAAAAAAUAGAAAAUAAUAAUAAUAAUAAUAACAAAGAAUACUGGGGCCUUGGGAUACCCACUCCUCUCUGUCUGCUCUGAGUUGUGAAGCAUUUGAGAUAUAUAUGUACGUCCAGUGGAUGAGGUUGAAAAUAUCAACUGGGUUGGAAUGUGGCUUACUUGUAUGGCCACAAUGAGCUUCCUAACACUUCCUGACUGGGUGAGAAGACAAGCUUUCUCACCCAGUCACUGGCAGGGCUGGACACUCUGUGUCUCUCCCACAGAACAACCUCUUACUGCAUGAAGGUGGACGAAAAAGUCGACCGAGAACAGGCUACUCCAAAAAGCAGAGCACCAAAGGCACCAGCUGGUCAGGUCCUCCUUCCUAAGUAAACAAUCACAUAAUUCAUUCAGGACAAAGCCAGCGAGGUGGUGUGGAGAAAGAGAGGGCAGUUUCCUCCCAAGUUUGUCCUGGAAUUCUUUAUGGGAAUAUGAGGUUUGGGGGAAUAAGGCUUCCCUUUAACAGUGAAGAAUCCCCAGCUCUAUUAGUAAUAGGAGAUCGCUUACAAGGAUGAUGGGGAGUAUUUCCUCAGCUCGUUCUGCCUCCUACUUGGCUGAGUGGAAGGGAACCAUCUGUGGCUGCUGCAUAUGAUAUUGUCAACUUUGUCAUUCCACACCCACUCCUUGACGCCCUACCAUGUGGUCAUAAGACUCCCUUUAAAAAACAAAAUGUGUUUUGUUUCUAUAAAAUACAGCUCAAUGUCAGAACCCUUGUAUUAUUUGCUCUCUGAUGUAACCCUUUC